rnacentral:lncRNA from 1 species
GCCUUUUAGAAUUGAUUUGUUGGAUCCGAAGGACACGUGUCCGACUAGGAUACCUAGGCCGGAGACGGAGGCGGCCUGUCAGGACCUGGCGGAGGAACUGACGCUGAGCUGGGUUCUGAUCGAUCCGGAAGGCCGGCGGGCGGUGAACCUUUCGAGCCACCGCCCCGCAUCGACUCAGCAGCACCGGCCGAGCCACCGCCCCGUAUCGGUUCAGAAGCACUGGCUGAGCGGGGACGUCCACGCACGAUUCGGCGUAAUAUUGGCCGGAGAGAGAGGGACGGCGUCGGAGUUUGUUCAGUGCGGGAUAGUGGUCACGUGCGGGGGUGGGG